AGAGACAAGUAGAAGCACCCGCUUCUCACCUGAUCGACGCGUAAGCAGUUGGCAGGUCACUAUUCCUUUGAUUUAUUAGGAGACGUGUGGGUGCAGUAUGUGCCGACACUUUUUUUAUUUG
rfam:Halobacillus sp. BAB-2008 contig27, whole genome shotgun sequence.